UGGUCCAUUCGGAAAGUCCAAUUUUGGGCAACUUUUUCGAGCAUUUCGGCCGGAAUAGCCCGAAUUUCUUCGGAAAUGUUGUCUUCCAAAGCUGGAAUAGUUGCUGGCUUAUUUCUGUAGACUUUAGACUUGACGUAGCCCCACAAAAAAUAGUCUAAAGGCGUUAAAUCGCAUGAUCUUGGUGGCCAACUUACGGGUCCAUUUCUUGAGAUGAAUUGUUCUCCGAAGUUUUCCCUCAAAAUGGCCAUAGAAUCGCGAGCUGUGUGGCAUGUAGCGCCAUCUUGUUGAAACCACAUAUAAUUUCAUUUAAAUGUUGACCGCGGCUGCGUCUUAGGUGGUCCAUUCGGAAAGUCCAAUUUUGGGCAACUUUUUCGAGCAUUUCGGCCGGAAUAGCCCGAAUUUCUUCGGAAAUGUUGUCUUCCAAAGCUGGAAUAGUUGCUGGCUUAUUUCUGUAGACUUUAGACUUGACGUAGCCCCACAAAAAAUAGUCUAAAGGCGUUAAAUCGCAUGAUCUUGGUGGCCAACUUACGGGUCCAUUUCUUGAGAUGAAUUGUUCUCCGAAGUUUUCCCUCAAAAUGGCCAUAGAAUCGCGAGCUGUGUGGCAUGUAGCGCCAUCUUGUUGAAACCACAUGUCAACCAAGUUCAGUUCUUCCAUUUUUGGCAACAAAAAGUUUGUUAGCAUCGAACGAUAGCGAUCGCCAUUCACCGUAACGUUGCGUCCAACAGCAUCUUUGAAAAAAUACGGUCCAAUGAUUCCACCAGCGUACAAACCACACCAAACAGUGCAUUUUUCGGGAUGCAUGGGCAGUUGGCCACCAAGAUCAUGCGAUUUAACGCCUUUAGACUAUUUUUUGUGGGGCUACGUCAAGUCUAAAGUCUACAGAAAUAAGCCAGCAACUAUUCCAGCUUUGGAAGACAACAUUUCCGAAGAAAUUCGGGCUAUUCCGGCCGAAAUGCUCGAAAAAGUUGCCCAAAAUUGGACUUUCCGAAUGGACCACCUAAGACGCAGCCGCGGUCAACAUUUAAACGAAAUUAUCUUCAAAAAGUAAAUGUCAUGAACCAAUCUAACGUUUCAAAUAAAGAACCGAUGAGAUUUUGCAAA